rnacentral:rRNA from 1 species
GACGAACGCUGGCGGCGUGCUUAACACAUGCAAGUCGAACGGAAAGGCCCUGCUUUUGUGGGGUGCUCGAGUGGCGAACGGGGGAGUAACACGUGAGUAACCUGCCCUUGACUUUGGGAUAACUUCAGGAAACAGGGGCUAAUACCGGAUAGGAGCUCCUGCUGCAUGGGGGGGGUUGGAAAGGUUCGGCGGUUGGGGAUGGACUCGCGGCUUAUCAGCUUGUUGGUGGGGUAGUGGCUUACCAAGGCUUUGACGGGUAGCCGGCCUGAGAGGGUGACCGGCCACAUUGGGACUGAGAUACGGCCCAGACUCCUACGGGAGGCAGCAGUGGGGAAUAUUGCACAAUGGGCGGAAGCCUGAUGCAGCAACGCCGCGUGCGGGAUGACGGCCUUCGGGUUGUAAACCGCUUUCGCCUGUGACGAAGCGUGAGUGACGGUAAUGGGUAAAGAAGCACCGGCUAACUACGUG